GGGGAAUAAAGUAGGUAGUGGUUAGAGUGACACUGGGAAUACAGUAGGUAGUGGUUAGAGUGACACUGGGAAUACAGUAGGUAGUGGUGAGAGGGGAAUACAGUAUGUAGUGGGAGAGAGACACUGGGAAUACAGUAGGUAGUGGUUAGAGAGACACUGGGAAUACAGUAGGUAGUUGUGAGAGGGGAAUACAGUAGGUAGUGGUGAGAGGGGAAUACAGUAGGUAGUGGUUAGAGAGACACUGGGAAUACAGUAGGUAGUGGUGAGAGGGGAAUACAG